rnacentral:rRNA from 1 species
UGCGUAGGUGGCCGUGGAAGUUUGGUGUGAAAGCUCGGAGCUCAACUCCGAAAUGGCAUCAAAUACUCUACGGCUGGAGGGUCGGAGGGGAGACUGGAAUUCUCGGUGUAGCAGUGAAAUGCGUAGAUAUCGAGAGGAACACCAGUGGCGAAGGCGAGUCUCUGGACGACACCUGACACUGAGGCACGAAAGCUAGGGGAGCAAACA